GACGAACGCUGGCGGCGUGCUUAACACAUGCAAGUCGAACGGAAAGGCCCUGCUUUUGUGGGGUGCUCGAGUGGCGAACGGGUGAGUAACCCGUGAGUAACCUGCCCUUUACUUUGGGAUAACUUCAGGAAACUGGGGCUAAUACCGGAUAGGAGCUCCUGCUGCAUGGUGGGGGUUGGAAAGUUUCGGCGGUUGGGGAUGGACUCGCGGCUUAUCAGCUUGUUGGUGGGGUAGUGGCUUACCAAGGCUUUGACGGGUAGCCGGCCUGAGAGGGUGACCGGGCACAUGGGGACUGAGAUACGGCCCAGACGCCUACGGGAGGCAGCGGUGGGGAAUAUGGCACAAUGGGCGGAAGCCUGAGGCAGCAACGCCGCGUGCGGGAUGACGGCCUUCGGGUUGUAAACCGCUGUCGCCUGUGACGAAGCGUGAGUGACGGUAAUGGGUAAAGAAGCACCGGCUAACUACGUG
rnacentral:rRNA from 1 species